UAUGCUUCAGAUUUAAUCUAAGAAGGAUUGUAAAAAACGAAUUUUAUUGAACUUAAAAUUUUAGACGUUAAUGGGUAAAAAACAGCUAAACAUUAUUUUUUCGAAAAGUUGAAUAUGCAUCAUAAAGCAUUAAAAUACAAUUAUAAGGAUCAUCAAAUCCGAAUGAAUUAUAGUUGUUUUCUCCUUUUUUUGGGAUCUUUGCUUCCACUGAUUAUGUUGAGUACACCAAACAAAUUCUCUUGAAAAUUCUUCAUAUUUGUACUUCCUUGGAUCACCAUCUAUCGAAUUGCUUUCCAUCCAACUUUGCAAUUUAGAUCUUGAAUUUGUAGAUAGCAAUGUAACGUCUUCUCUAACAUCGUCUACAACAAAACAACCAAUAUAACAACUAAAUAAAAAAAAUUUAUGAAUAAUAAAUCUUAAAUUUAAACAAAGAAUAAAAUACAUAAACCAAAAGGUGAUGUAACCAUAGACAAAGGUAAAUACCUAAACCAAAAAGGUGAUGUAACCAUAGACAAAGGUGCGGUAUUCUUUGACAUUACCUUCCAAACAACCACUAUACGAACAGGAAAACAGAAAUUUGAGGAUGAUGAAUAAAAGGAAGAAAAAAGUUCAGUAUGAAAGAAUAAUUGUACGAACAUAACAAAAAAACUAAAGAUCUACUUUUUUUUUAGUUAUGGGGAUAGCAUAGAAACCCUAGUAUUUAUAGAAGUGUUUUUUUAAGGUUUCAACUUAGGACGUGUUUUUUGUUAACGAACUUUUUUACGUAAGCCUAUUUCCUCUAAACCCUAAAUUUAGACUUUUUCGGCUUUAGCUACAGGAUUUCGAUUUUGGGUUACAAAUUUCCAAUUUUUA
rnacentral:lncRNA from 1 species